UUCUCCGCUCGCAGACCCGGGUGCCCCUUCCAGGGUCUCCGUGUGCCCGGCCGCAGAGCUGCGUUCAUGUUUCCCGAAGAGCCCGUAGGGCCCCUGUGGGCGAAGGGUCUGCUGUGGAGCCUUGGAGGAGUGGCAGCUCAUCUGGGGAAAGAGUAAAGCUGCACCAGGGCAGCCUUCUUUCCUUCGCGGAGUGUUUACAGAAGCCCACCUCUGGGCCUGCGGAGACCCACAGUGGCUUCUACCCUCAGGUUGCUGGCGUUUCAGACCUGGUCGCGACGUCUAUGGAAAACCACCCUGAUCAGAGCAGGCAGCUUUAAAAGCAGAAGCCCUCAGUUCAGUUCCUGCUCCGCUGCUUCCUAGCAGUGUAAACCUGGGCAAGUCUUGAAGUCCCUUGAGCCUCAGUUUCUUCCUCUGUGAAAUGGGCAUAAUAACAGGAGUGAAGUGAGGAUUCAGGGAGAAAAAGUAUGGAGAGUGUUUAGCGCAGCGACCCGCGCCGAGUGAAUGCUUGAAGGAUGAUGGUCCUUAUCAGAGGCAGGGUAUAGUAGACGCUGUGACUGAUACCAAACAGCCUGAGAGAGGCCGCAGUUCAGCUGUGGUGUCUGAAAGGCUCUCUGAAAGAGUGAGCAUCCCGCCGGGUUUUAAAAGAAAGAAUGCCUUUUCCAGCCCUUACUCAUGAAGGACAGUUGGCAUGGCGGCCACAGGUGUGCAGUGCACGAACCAGGCCAUCUGGGGAGGAAAGAGAGAGCACGGCUGAGUUGGGAUCCUGGCUCUACAACUUGGCAGUGUGCCCUGGAGCACAGGCUCCGGACGCGCAGGCUCAGCGGCCAUGGCUCACGGACCCAGCCACUCCGCGGCAUGCGGGAUCCUCCCAGACCGGGGCAUGAACCCGUGUCCCCUGCAUCGGCAGGCGGACUCUCAACCACUGCGCCACCAGGGAAGCCCCACAGCUUCGCGAGGGCUUCCUGUGAGCAUCCAGAGAGCACAAGCGCGGAAGUCACCGGGAGUUUAUGGAGCAGGAACCCGAUGCCGUGUGUUUCAUUCAUAACCAGCCUGCCAUGUAAAUUAGCACAACCCACCUGGUAGGAAUCAGGCUGACACACCUUGUUUGCUUGUUUGCCCUCAGCAGCUAAAGCUUCUGGACUAUCCCAUGAAAGAGAGGGCAGAGUUCCACAGCUGAAUAUUUCUGAUGAGAUGUGAUAACUUACACAUUUAAAGCAUUUUAGCAUUUAUAAAACGUUUUGCAUGUAUUAUCUCAUUUGCUACCUACAGCUCCAAGGGAAGCUUUAUCUUAGCCCUGUUUUAGAAAUGGCAAGUCUGAGGCUCGGGGAGGCUAAUGCCUGCCUGUGGUCUGCAGCGGGUGUGUGUCAAGGCCAGGAGCAAGCGCAGGUCUGAGUACAGGCACGAUGCACCCAUUGCCCCCAAGUGACUCUGGAGAAUCUGACAUUAUCCGCUCUGUUAAUUGCCACUGGGGAUUUAUGUUUUAUAAAACAUGU